rnacentral:rRNA from 1 species
GUAUCCUACGGGAGGCAGCAGUGGGGAAUAUUGCACAAUGGGGGAAACCCUGAUGCAGCAACGCCGCGUGAGUGAAGAAGUCAUUCGUGAUGUAAAGCUCUAUCAGCAGGGAAGAAAAUGACGGUACCUGAGUAAGAAGCCCCGGCUAACUACGUGCCAGCAGCCGCGGUAAUACGUAGGGGGCAAGCGUUAUCCGGAUUUAUUGGGUUUAAAGGGUGCGUAGGCGGGCUUUUAAGUCAGCGGUAAAAAUUCGG